AGACCCGAAACCCGGUGAUCUAGCCAUGGGCAGGUUGAAGGUUGGGUAACACUAACUGGAGGACCGAACCGACUAAUGUUGAAAAAUUAGCGGAUGACCUGUGGCUGGGGGUGAAAGGCCAAUCAAACCGGGAGAUAGCUGGUUCUCCCCGAAAGCUAUUUAGGUAGCGCCUCGUGAAUUCAUCUCCGGGGGUAGAGCACUGUUUCGGCUAGGGGGCCAUCCCGGCUUACCAACCCGAUGCAAACUGCGAAUACCGGAGAAUGUUAUCACGGGAGACACACGGCGGGUGCUAACGUCCGUCGUGAAGAGGGAAACAACCCAGACCGCCAGCUAAGGUCCCAAAGUCAUGGUUAAGUGGGAAACGAUGUGGGAAGGCCCAGACAGCCAGGAUGUUGGCUUAGAAGCAGCCAUCAUUUAAAGAAAGCGUAAUAGCUCACUGGUCGAGUCGGCCUGCGCGGAAGAUGUAACGGGGCUAAACCAUGCACCGAAGCUGCGGCAGCGACACUCAGGUGUCGUUGGGUAGGGGAGCGUUCUGUAAGCCUGCGAAGGUGGCCUGUGAGGGUUGCUGGAGGUAUCAGAAGUGCGAAUGCUGACAUAAGUAACGAUAAAGCGGGUGAAAAGCCCGCUCGCCGGAAGACCAAGGGUUCCUGUCCAACGUUAAUCGGGGCAGGGUGAGUCGACCCCUAAGGCGAGGCCGAAAGGCGUAGUCGAUGGGAAACGGGUUAAUAUUCCCGUACUUGGUGUUACUGCGAAGGGGGGACGGAGAAGGCUAUGUUGGCCGGGCGACGGUUGUCCCGGUUUAAGCGUGUAGGUGUGUGUUCCAGGUAAAUCCGGUUCACUUUAACACUGAGGCGUGACGACGAGGCACUACGGUGCUGAAGCAACAAAUGCCCUGCUUCCAGGAAAAGCCUCUAAGCAUCAGGUAACAUCAAAUCGUACCCCAAACCGACACAGGUGGUCAGGUAGAGAAUACCAAGGCGCUUGAGAGAACUCGGGUGAAGGAACUAGGCAAAAUGGUGCCGUAACUUCGGGAGAAGGCACGCUGACACGUAGGUGAAGUGAUUUACUCAUGGAGCUGAAGUCAGUCGAAGAUACCAGCUGGCUGCAACUGUUUAUUAAAAACACAGCACUGUGCAAACACGAAAGUGGACGUAUACGGUGUGACGCCUGCCCGGUGCCGGAAGGUUAAUUGAUGGGGUCAGCGCAAGCGAAGCUCCUGAUCGAAGCCCCGGUAAACGGCGGCCGUAACUAUAACGGUCCUAAGGUAGCGAAAUUCCUUGUCGGGUAAGUUCCGACCUGCACGAAUGGCGUAAUGAUGGCCAGGCUGUCUCCACCCGAGACUCAGUGAAAUUGAACUCGCUGUGAAGAUGCAGUGUACCCGCGGCAAGACGGAAAGACCCCGUGAACCUUUACUAUAGCUUGACACUGAACAUUGAGCCUUGAUGUGUAGGAUAGGUGGGAGGCUUUGAAGUGUGGACGCCAGUCUGCAUGGAGCCGGCCUUGAAAUACCACCCUUUAAUGUUUGAUGUUCUAACGUGGACCCGUGAUCCGGGUUGCGGACAGUGUCUGGUGGGUAGUUUGACUGGGGCGGUCUCCUCCUAAAGAGUAACGGAGGAGCACGAAGGUUGGCUAAUCCUGGUCGGACAUCAGGAGGUUAGUGCAAUGGCAUAAGCCAGCUUGACUGCGAGCGUGACGGCGCGAGCAGGUGCGAAAGCAGGUCAUAGUGAUCCGGUGGUUCUGAAUGGAAGGGCCAUCGCUCAACGGAUAAAAGGUACUCCGGGGAUAACAGGCUGAUACCGCCCAAGAGUUCAUAUCGACGGCGGUGUUUGGCACCUCGAUGUCGGCUCAUCACAUCCUGGGGCUGAAGUAGGUCCCAAGGGUAUGGCUGUUCGCCAUUUAAAGUGGUACGCGAGCUGGGUUUAGAACGUCGUGAGACAGUUCGGUCCCUAUCUGCCGUGGGCGCUGGAGAACUGAGGGGGGCUGCUCCUAGUACGAGAGGACCGGAGUGGACGCAUCACUGGUGUUCGGGUUGUCAUGCCAAUGGCACUGCCCGGUAGCUAAAUGCGGAAGAGAUAAGUGCUGAAAGCAUCUAAGCACGAAACUUGCCCCGA
rnacentral:rRNA from 3 species